rnacentral:rRNA from 1 species
GCCCAUGCCUACACUAAAGGCACCAGAUCCUGUAUGAUCUUGGAAGUUAAGCAGGGUCCUGGUUAGUAGUUAGAUGGGAGACCACCAACAAAUACCAGGAGUUGUAGGCA